GUACUCUAAUUACAACUUAGAAAUCAUCUUGCUUCAAACACAUUUAACAUCCCUUGCUCACAAUAGUGAUUUGAUUCCUAAUUUUUGUAAAUUGUCUGUUGAAUGCCAAUUUUAUGAAACCAACCACCCUAUUAUUAAUAAUUUAAUUGCUUUAAUAGAAAGUGUCCAAUUUGUUGUAUAAAAAUCUAAUGGCAGUUGUCUAUUAUAGCAGCCAGCCACAUAGGCCU
rnacentral:misc_RNA from 1 species